rnacentral:rRNA from 1 species
GACGAACGCUGGCGGCGUGCUUAACACAUGCAAGUCGAACGGAAAGGCCCUGCUUUUGUGGGGUGCUCGAGUGGCGAACGGGUGAGUAACACGUGAGUAACCUGCCCUUGACUUUGGGAUAACUUCAGGAAACUGGGGCUAAUACCGGAUAGGAGCUCCUGCUGCAUGGUGGGGGUGGGAAAGUUUCGGCGGUUGGGGAUGGACUCGCGGCUUAUCAGCUUGUUGGUGGGGUAGUGGCUUACCAAGGCUUUGACGGGUAGCCGGCCUGAGAGGGUGACCGGCCCCCUUGGGACUGAGGUACGGCCCGGACUCCUACGGGAGGCAGCACUGGGGAAUACUGCACAAUGGGCGGAAGCCUGAUGCAGCACCGCCGCGUGCGGGAUGACGGCCUUCGGGUUGUAACCCGCUUUCGCCUGUGACGAAGCGUGAGUGACGGUAAUGGGUAAAGAAGCACCGGCUAACUACGUG